UACGGAGGAUCCAAGCGUUAUCCGGAAUCAUUGGGUUUAAAGGGUCCGUAGGCGGGAUAAUAAGUCAGUGGUGAAAGUCUGCAGCUUAACUGUAGAACUGCCAUUGAUACUGCAGGUCUUGAGUCAUGGUGGGGUCGCCGGAACAUGUGGUGUAGCGGUGAAAUGCAUAGAUAUCACAUAGAAUACCGAUUGCGAAGGCAGAUCACUAAUAAUUCACUGACGCUGAUGGACGAAAGCGUAGGUAGCGAACAGG
rnacentral:misc_RNA from 1 species